GCGCAAUAGCUCAGUCGGUAGAGCAGCGGUCUCGUAUUCCGGUGACCUGGGUUCGAGACCAAGUUGAUGCG
rfam:Strongylocentrotus purpuratus Contig104401_fixed, whole genome shotgun sequence.